rnacentral:rRNA from 1 species
ACGGAAGGGGCAAGCGUUGUUCGGAAUCAUUGGGCGUAAAGGGCGCGUAGGUGGUUUUGUAUGUCUACCGUGAAAGCGCGCGGCUUAACCGCGUUCCGUCGGUAGAAACUGCAGAACUUGAGACUGGGAGGGGCUGGUGGAAUUCCCUGUGUAGCGGUGAAAUGCGUAGAGAUGGGGGAGAACACUCGUGGCGAAGGCGGCCAGCUAGACCAGUUCUGACACUGAGGCGCGACAGCGUGGGGAGCAAACAGGA